CGGCGAACGGUGAGUAACGCGUGGAUUAUCUGCCCUGAGGUGGGGGAUAACCCGGGGAAACUCGGGCUAAUACCGCAUAUGACCGCGAGGUCAAAGGGGGUCGCAAGAUCUCUCGCCAUAGGAGGAGUCCGCGUCCGAUUAGCUAGUUGGUAGGGUAAUGGCCUACCAAGGCGACGAUCGGUAGCCGGCCUGAGAGGGUGAUCGGCCACACUGGAACUGAGACACGGUCCAG
rnacentral:rRNA from 1 species